GGUGUUAUAUAAAAUUUUGGUUCUAGUGUUAUUACUGUGUUGAGGGCUUUAUGAAAUGCCCUCAAAUUUAAUAUUCAUAAAACAAAUGUUUGGAUGAAGAUAGUGUCACUGUGUUGUGAACACUCCUGUACAAUACAGCGGGUUUUGGUGGGAUGACCCAAGAAUAAAAAUCCUCCUGGCGCCCAUAACCUAUUAGUUAAGGUUAAUUUUAGUUUAUAAGUUUAGUUAAUUAGUUAAUGCAUGUUAGUAUUUACUUAGCUUAAGGUUUGUCAUAAAUAUUUCAAAAUGUG